UCCUACGGGAGGCAGCAGUGGGGAAUAUUGCACAAUGGGGGAAACCCUGAUGCAGCCAUGCCGCGUGUGUGAAGAAGGCCUUCGGGUUGUAAAGCACUUUCAGUAGGGAGGAAGGUAGUGUAGUUAACACCUGCACUAUUUGACGUUACCUACAGAAGAAGCACCGGCUAACUCCGUGCCAGCAGCCGCGGUAAUACGGAGGGUGCGAGCGUUAAUCGGAAUUACUGGGCGUAAAGCGCAUGCAGGCGGCCUAUUAAGUCAGAUGUGAAAGCCCGGGGCUUAACCUCGGAAUUGCAUUUGAAACUGGCAGGCUAGAGUCUUGUAGAGGGGGGUAGAAUUUCAGGUGUAGCGGUGAAAUGCGUAGAGAUCUGAAGGAAUACCAGUGGCGAAGGCGGCCCCCUGGACAAAGACUGACGCUCAGAUGCGAAAGCGUGGGGAGCAAACAGGAUUAGAUACCCUGGUAGUCCACGCCGUAAACGAUGUCUACUUGGAGGUUGUGGCCUUGAGCCGUGGCUUUCGGAGCUAACGCGUUAAGUAGACCGCCUGGGGAGUACGGUCGCAAGAUUAAAACUCAAAUGAAUUGACGGA
rnacentral:rRNA from 1 species